CGGCAGAGAGAGCCAGAGCAGUGGGUCUGAUCCAGUUUUAGCCAUUCUGGACUUUCACAGAUUUACUCAUCUGUAAAAUGGGCCUUAUGGAUGAGCUGCCACUGCCAGAAGCUGCUGAUAGCUUUGGCACCUCAGCUGACAAAUGUGCUGUCAGGACAUGCAUCCUCUCCACAGUCAGACGUGCUGCGGUGGCGGGGACGAACAGGGCCCUGGAACCCCACCGUCCUGGCAGGAACCCUGGGCUGUGCCAGCACGUGUUUCAUCUACUUGGGCCAGGGAAAGGGAAAGAGAGAGACGCACCGGACAGCCUGCUUGCAGAGAGCGGGAGAAGUGUCCUGAGCUUUCCCAUUGCGGCCCCAGGCUCGGC
rnacentral:lncRNA from 1 species